rnacentral:rRNA from 1 species
GACGAACGCUGGCGGCGUGCCUAAUACAUGCAAGUAGAACGCUGAAGUAGGAGCUUUCCUUUCUUGAUGAUUUGCGCACGGGUGAGUAACGCGUAUGUAACCUGUCUGGUAGCGGGUGAUAACUCUUGGAAACGCUAGCUAAUACACCAUAAGAGUUGUUGUUGCAUGUCAUUUACUUAAAAGGUACAAUUUCAUCACUACUUGUUGGACCUGCGUUGUAUUAGUUAGUUGGUGGUGUAACGGCUUCCCAAGGCGACGAGACAUCGUCGACCCGGGAGGGGGAACGGGCAAACUGGGAAUGGGAAAAGGCCCAGACUCCCACGGGGAGGAGCAGGAAGGAAUCUUCGGGAAUUGACGGAAGGCUGACCGGACAACGGCGGGUGAGUGAAGAAGGGUUUCGGAUCGUAAAGCUCUGUUGUAAGGGAAGAAAGAAUGGGGGAGUGGAAAAUGCACACUGUGACGGUACCUAACCAGAAAGGGACGGCUAACUACGUG